GACGAACGCUGGCGGCGUGCUUAACACAUGCAAGUCGAACGGUGAAGCCCUUCGGGGUGGAUCAGUGGCGAACGGGUGAGUAACACGUGAGCAAUCUGCCCUUGACUCUGGGAUAACUUCGGGAAACCGGAGCUAAUACCGGAUAUGACUUACGGCCGCAUGGUCUGUGGGUGGAAAGAUUUAUCGGUCAAGGAUGAGCUCGCGGCCUAUCAGCUUGUUGGUGGGGUAANGGCCCACCAAGGCGACGACGGGUAGCCGGCCUGAGAGGGCGACCGGCCACACUGGGACUGAGACACGGCCCAGACUCCUACGGGAGGCAGCAGUGGGGAAUAUUGCGCAAUGGGCGAAAGCCUGAUCCAGC
rnacentral:rRNA from 1 species